GAGUUUCCAACAGGAGAGAAGUCAGAGAGAACCAUUCUGCAGUCUGCACCGUUCUGAACUCAAGCUUUUCUGUGAAGAUGACAAACAGCUUGUGUGUUUGGUGUGUCGAGACUCAAAACUCCACAAGAACCACAACUUCAGUCCUGUCAGUGAAGCAGCACUUGAGCGUAAGGAAGAACUGAAGAUCAAACUAGAGCCUUUACAGAAGAAGCUGGACAACUUUAAACAAGUUAAAACAACCAGUGAUGAAACUGCCCAACACAUAAGAGUCCAGACCCAACACACAGAGAGGCAGAUCAAGGAGGAGUUUGAGAACCUUCACCAGUUUCU